rnacentral:siRNA from 1 species
GAGGACCUCGUUGUGAUCUCUGU